UAAAAUCCAUAUGGUUCCUUAGAUCGUUUCUUCCUACUUGGAUAACUGUGGCAAUUCUAGAGCUAAUACAUGCAGUGAGCCUGAAGCCCUUUGGGCGACGGGUGCUUUUAUUAGACCAAGAUCGAUCGGGUUUCGGCCCGUAUUGUGUGGUGACUCUGGAUAACUUUGUGCUGAUCGCAUGGCCACGAGCCGGCGACGUUUCUUUCAAGUGUCUGCCUUAUCAACUUUCGAUGGUAGGUUACUUGCUUACCAUGGUUGUUACGGGUAACGGAGAAUCAGGGUUCGAUUCCGGAGAGGGAGCCUGAGAAACGGCUACCACAUCCAAGGAAGGCAGCAGGCGCGCAAAUUACCCACUCCCGGCACGGGGAGGUAGUGACGAAAAAUAACAAUACGGGACUCUUUUGAGGCCCCGUAAUUGAAAUGAGUACACUCUAAAUCCUUUAACGAGGAUCAAUUGGAGGGCAAGUCUGGUGCCAGCAGCCGCGGUAAUUCCAGCUCCAAUAGCGUAUACUAAAGCUGCUGCGGUUAAAAAGCUCGUAGUUGGAUCUCAGUUCCAGACGAGUAGUGCAUCUACCCGAUGCGACGGCUCGGACUGAACAUCAUGCCGGUCCUUUCUUGGUGCACUUCAUUGUGUGCCUCGAGAAGGCCGGUGCUUUUACUUUGAAAAAAUUAGAGUGCUCAACGCAGGCGAGUCGCCUGAAUAAACUUGCAUGGAAUAAUAGAACAAGACCUCGUUUCUGUUCUGUUGGUUUUUGGAAUACGAGGUAAUGAUUAAGAGGGACAGACGGGGGCAUUC
rnacentral:rRNA from 1 species